UUGGUUAAGUUAGAAAGGGCGCACGGUGGAUGCCUUGGCACUAGGAGCCGAAGAAGGACGGGACUAACACCGAUAUGCUUUGGGGAGCUGUACGUAAGCGUUGAUCCAGAGAUUUCCGAAUGGGGGAACCCACUAUCUUUAGUCGGAUAGUAUCCUUACGUGAAUACAUAGCGUGAGGAAGGCAGACCCAGGGAACUGAAACAUCUAAGUACCUGGAGGAAGAGAAAGAAAAAUCGAUUUCCUGAGUAGCGGCGAGCGAAACGGAAAGAGCCCAAACCAAGAAGCUUGCUUCUUGGGGUUGUAGGACACUCUAUACGGAGUUACAAAAGAAAGUUAUAAAUGAAGCGGUCUGGAAAGGCCCGCCAAAGACGGUAACAGCCCGGUAGUUGAAAUGGCUUUCCCUCCAGAGUGGAUCCUGAGUACGGCGGAACACGUGAAAUUCCGUCGGAAUCCGGGAGGACCAUCUCCCAAGGCUAAAUACUCCCUAGUGACCGAUAGUGAACCAGUACCGUGAGGGAAAGGUGAAAAGCACCCCGGAAGGGGAGUGAAACAGUUCCUGAAACCGUGUGCCUACAAGUAGUUAGAGCCCGUUAAUGGGUGAUAGCGUGCCUUUUGUAGAAUGAACCGGCGAGUUACGAUUUGUUGCAAGGUUAAGCGGAAAAAGCGGAGCCGUAGCGAAAGCGAGUCUGAAUAGGGCGCAUAAGUAACAGGUCGUAGACCCGAAACCAGGUGAUCUACCCAUGUCCAGGAUGAAGGUAAGGUAAUACUUACUGGAGGUCCGAACCCACGCACGUUGAAAAGUGCGGGGAUGAGGUGUGGGUAGCGGAGAAAUUCCAAUCGAACUUGGAGAUAGCUGGUUCUCUCCGAAAUAGCUUUAGGGCUAGCCUCGAGGUAAAGAGUCAUGGAGGUAGAGCACUGUUUGGACUAGGGGCCCUUCUCGGGUUACCGAAUUCAGAUAAACUCCGAAUGCCAUGUACUUAUACUCGGGAGUCAGACUGCGAGUGAUAAGAUCCGUAGUCGAAAGGGAAACAGCCCAGACCACCAGUUAAGGUCCCCAAAUAUAU
rnacentral:rRNA from 1 species